rnacentral:misc_RNA from 1 species
UGGCAUAGCCUCUCAAGAGAUAACUAG